rnacentral:ncRNA from 4 species
UACGUAGGGUGCGAGCGUUGUCCGGAAUUAUUGGGCGUAAAGAGCUUGUAGGCGGUUUGUCGCGUCUGCUGUGAAAAUCCGGGGCUCAACCCCGGACUUGCAGUGGGUACGGGCAGACUAGAGUGUGGUAGGGGAGACUGGAAUUCCUGGUGUAGCGGUGAAAUGCGCAGAUAUCAGGAGGAACACCGAUGGCGAAGGCAGGUCUCUGGGCCACUACUGACGCUGAGAAGCGAAAGCAUGGGGAGCGAACAGG